ACAUGCAGUCGUACGCUUCUUUUUCACCGAGAGCUUGCUCCACCGGAAACGAAUAGUGGCGAACGGGUGAGUAACACGAGGGUAACCUGCCCGUCUAAAGGGGAUAACACUUGUAAACAGGUGCUAAUACCGUAUAACAAUCGAAACCGCAUGGUUUUGAUUUGAAAGGCGCUUUCGGGUGUCGCUGAUGGAUGGACCCGCCGUGCGUUACCUACUUGGUGAGGUAACGGCUCGCCAUCGCCCCCAUUGGUACCCAACCUGAGACGGUAAUCCUCCACAUUGCGACUGAGACAAAUCCCAAACUCCGACCGAAGGCAUCAUUCGGGAAUCUUCCGCAAUGGACGAAAGUCUGACCGACCAACACCUCUUUCCUGAAGAAAGUUUUCGGAUCUUAAUACUCUGUUGUCCCAGGAAAACAACGAUGCAACUAACUGUUCAAUCCUUGACGGUAUCUAACCAGAAAGCCACGGCUAACUACAUGGCAGCAGCCGCGGUAAUUUUUAUGUGGCAAGCGUUGUCCCGAUUUAUUGGGCGUAAACCCAUCGCACGCGGUUUCUUAAGUCUGAUGUGAAAGCCCCCCCGCUCCACCGGGGGAGGGUCAUUUGAAACUGGGACACUUGGGAUGGCGAAACACGACAAUGGAAUUUCUUGUGUUUCAGUGGAGAUGGGUACAAAUGUGGGUGGAGCACCUGUGGCGAACAACAGCUCCCUGGUCU
rnacentral:rRNA from 1 species